rnacentral:rRNA from 1 species
ACGAAGCAAUCGGAAGUGGUUCCAAGAAAAGCCUCUAAGCUUCAGUCAUACGAGACCGUACCGCAAACCGACACAGGUGGGCGAGAUGAGUAUUCUAAGGCGCUUGAGAGAACUCGGGAGAAGGAACUCGGCAAAUUGGUACCGUAACUUCGGGAAAAGGUACGCCCCGGUAGCUUGAUUGGUUUACUCCAUGAGGGUGAAAGGGUUGCAAUAAACUGGUGGCUGCGACUGUUUAAUAAAAACACAGCACUCUGCAAACACGAAAGUGGACGUAUAGGGUGUGACGCCUGCCCGGUGCUGGAAGAUUAAAUGAUGGGGUGCAAGCUCUUGAUUGAAGUCCCAGUAAACGGCGGCCGUAACUAUAACGGUCCUAAGGUAGCGAAAUUCCUUGUCGGGUAAGUUCCGACCUGCACGAAUGGCGUAACGAUGGCCACACUGUCUCCUCCCGAGACUCAGCGAAGUUGAAAUGUUUGUGAUGAUGCAAUCUACCCGCGGCUAGACGGAAAGACCCCAUGAACCUUUACUGUAGCUUUGCAUUGGACUUUGAACCAAUCUGUGUAGGAUAGGUGGGAGGCUUUGAAGCGGGGACGCUAGUUCUCGUGGAGCCAACCUUGAAAUACCACCCUGGUUUGUUUGAGGUUCUAACCUUGGUCCGUUAUCCGGAUCGGGGACAGUGCAUGGUAGGCAGUUUGACUGGGGCGGUCUCCUCCUAAAGUGUAACGGAGGAGUUCGAAGGUACGCUAGAUACGGUCGGACAUCGUGUUGAUAGUGCAAUGGCAUAAGCGUGCUUAACUGCGAGACUGACAAGUCGAGCAGGUACGAAAGUAGGACAUAGUGAUCCGGUGGUUCUGUAUGGAAGGGCCAUCGCUCAACGGAUAAAAGGUACUCUGGGGAUAACAGGCUGAUUCCUCCCAAGAGUUCAUAUCGACGGGGGAGUUUGGCACCUCGAUGUCGGCUCAUCACAUCCUGGGGCUGUAGCCGGUCCCAAGGGUAUGGCUGUUCGCCAUUUAAAGUGGUACGUGAGCUGGGUUUAAAACGUCGUGAGACAGUUUGGUCCCUAUCUGCCGUGGGCGUUGGAAAUUUGAAGGGGGCUGCUCCUAGUACGAGAGGACCGGAGUGGACGAACCUCUGGUGUACCGGUUGUCACGCCAGUGGCAUUGCCGGGUAGCUAAGUUCGGAAGAGAUAACCGCUGAAAGCAUCUAAGCGGGAAACUUGCCUUGAGAUGAGAUUUCCCAGAGCCUUGAGCUCUUUGAAGGGUCGUUCGAGACCAGGACGUUGAUAGGCUGGGUGUGGAAGUGCAGUAAUGCAUUAAGCUAACCAGUACUAAUUGCCCGUACGGCUUGUCCCU